rnacentral:rRNA from 1 species
UACGAAGGGGGCUAGCGUUGCUCGGAAUCACUGGGCGUAAAGCGCACGUAGGCGGCUUUUUAAGUCAGGGGUGAAAUCCUGGAGCUCAACUCCAGAACUGCCUUUGAUACUGAGAAGCUUGAGUUCGGGAGAGGUGAGUGGAACUGCGAGUGUAGAGGUGAAAUUCGUAGAUAUUCGCAAGAACACCAGUGGCGAAGGCGGCUCACUGGCCCGAUACUGACGCUGAGGUGCGAAAGCGUGGGGAGCA